rnacentral:rRNA from 1 species
AGUGAACGCUGGCGGUAGGCCUAACACAUGCAAGUCGAACGGCAGCACAGUAAGAGCUUGCUCUUACGGGUGGCGAGUGGCGGACGGGUGAGGAAUACAUCGGAAUCUACUUUUUCGUGGGGGAUAACGUAGGGAAACUUACGCUAAUACCGCAUACGACCUACGGGUGAAAGCCGGGGAGCUUCGGACCUUGCGCGAUUGUAUGUGCCGAUGUCGGAUUAGCUAGUUGGCGGGGGAAAGGCCCACUAAGGCGACGCUACGUAGCUGGUAUGAGAGGAUGGUCAGCCGCACUGGAAGGGCAACACCCUCGAGGCUACUACUAGAGGGAGCAGAGGGGAAUAUUGGACAACGGGCGCAAACCUGAUCCAGCCAUACCGAGUGUGUGAAAGCGACUUCCGGGUUGUAAAGCCUUUUUGUUGGGAAAAAAACGCAGCUGGUUAAUACCCCGCUAUACUGACGGUACCCAAAGAAUAAGCACCGGCUAACUUCGCG